AGAGAGCUAGCUUCAUCAGAUCAAACUUAAAACAAAUGAAAACGCGCUCAGGUUGAAGAAUGGAUCUCCCCCACACCUGGCUUAAAACACCUCUCCUCCGCCGAGCCGGAGGUUGCCUCCGGCGGCGGCGGAGGGCCAAUCCGAGAAACUUAACACCAUCUAACUCGUAUCUUCAUUCUAAAUCCAAAUAUGAUAUCAAUUCCACCUGAUUCGAAGCUUAAAGCCCUAACUGAUUCGAUCUUGUCCGAGAACCCUAACUACAAGUUGAUAAAUGAAAUCCUCCUCUCAAGGAAUCAAAACCCAAGGCAUUGGGGCUUUGAUUCCCUACCACUCAACUCACAUUUCAGUAUCAAAUUUGAAGCAAGAAGGUGAAAGAUUGAACUUAUGCUGCCGGAGAAGAUGCAAACAACGGCCAAACUCCGGGCUGUUAAUGCAAUGGGAUAUGGCUCAUGUUCUUGGAGUUUGGAAUGAAGGUGCCAUGGAUGAACAUGAAGAAUCAUGAUUACUUGUUAGUGAAGAAAGCUUUGAUCAUGAGAUUAAAAAUGAGAAUGAAAACAUGAAGAACAAAGUGGAAACUAGGCCUUAGGUUUAAGGAUUUGAUGAGUUGACUUGACCAAAAAGUGAACAGUUGACCAAAGUCAAUUAUAGGUAAAAAUCAGUUUUGUUUUGUAAUUCCUUGUAGGGAGAUUUGUAAUGUGAUAUGUAUGAAUGCAAUGAAAGUUUUUGAAUGAGAAAAUCUCUUAUGACUUAA